rnacentral:lncRNA from 1 species
UGCCAUGAUGAUUCUCUAUCAUGUUCCUCGUACACUGCACCAGCACCACUGCUUCCCUUCCCAGUGAGAACCCGAUCAAGCUUUAUCAUGCAGCCCAGAAGGGUGGGGGAAAGAAAAAGAAUUAGGAGAAAAUGUUGUAAAAGUAAUGAGAUAAUAUGAGAAUGUGCUUUGGGAACUGCGAAUCUGGAGUCACUGGUCCAUGAGGAAUCUAGGAUAAGAAGAAGGAAGCUGUGAAGAAUGGUUGGCUAACAGUGCUGGCAAGGAAUUCAGAUCAACAUACCUCUCAAAAGAAUGGAAGUCUCUUAAACUCAGG